GCAGGUGCGUCAGGGACGGGUCCGAGCGAGGAUCCCCGGCAGCUGGUGUCCGGAGUCGCCCCCGGGACGGAGCAAGCCCGCUGGGGGGUGCGCCGGGGCUUCAGCCAGGGCCGGCUCUUAGCCCUCCUGGUCCCGGCGCGGCGGAUGCUGUGCGGGCCCCACGCUCCCGCGAAUCGCCGAGGCUCCCCUCGCCCGGCCUCCGGGAGUAGCACAGAUCGGGGUCGGCGCCUGCUCCCCUCCGGCCGGCUGCCCAGUCCUAACAGUCGCAGAAGCCCCCGAGGGCUGUCCCCUCGUGGGUAAAAGGAAGGGGAGAAUCACAUCACGUCUUAGGAUCGGAAAUGGAGCGUGACAACGCCCGGCACAGCACAGGGCCCCGGGUGGGCCGUGGGUGCACCACCACCGUCGGUUCAGCCGAGCCCGUUCACCUACCCACCGACACCCCCCUCCAGCUCCUCCGGUUCAGGAAACCUGUCCCUGACCGCCAAACCGAGUCUGUUGGUGUCUCCUGACCCCCAGCUCAGACUCAAGAGGCUGUUUUAGGGGUGAAAACUUUUGACAUGUUCAGAGAUCAUCUAGGAGCAGACUUUAAGCACAAAUCACACAAGCUGGACACUUGCUCCCAAUUCAUUCUGCCCGAUCCUGUUUCUCAUCUGUAAAAUGGGCAUGAUGGCAGUUCCUGAGGCAUGACGGUAUACUGAGGAUUGAUGAGCUGCAGCAUGGGGCCUGCCUCACUGCAGACACUGAAUAAACUAGAUCUUCCUGCA